AACCUAUGGUGAGGGCACCUUCUCAAAAGAUCCUUGUAUCUCUCCCAUGCAUCAUAGAGUGUUUUUAGAUCUAUCUACACAAAAGAAGAGAUAUCAUUCCUUAAUUU
rfam:Gossypium hirsutum cultivar TM-1 chromosome 12, whole genome shotgun sequence